GCGAACGCCGUGGAAUGAGCCGUGGGUAUACGUGGGGUGUAAACGUUAUCCGGAUUUAUUGGGUGUACAGGGUCCGUAGGAGGAUCGGUAAGUCAGUGGUGAACGGCUACAGCUUAACUGUAGAACUGCCGUUGAUACUGUUGGUCUUGAGUGUGGUUGAGGUAGCUGGAAUGAGUAGUGUAGCGGUGAAAUGCAUAGAUAUUACUCAGAACACCAAUUGCGAAGGCAGGUUACCAAGUCACAACUGACGCUGAUGGACGAAAGCGUGGGGAGCGAACAGGAUUAGAUACCCCUGUAGUC
rnacentral:rRNA from 1 species